GGGAACUCUAGUCUCGCCUCGGGUUGCAAUGGACCCCAACUGCUCCUGUGCCGCUGGUGUCUCCUGCACCUGCGCCAGCUCCUGCAAGUGCAAAGAGUGCAAAUGCACCUCCUGCAAGAAGAGUGAGUGCGGGGCCAUCUCCAGGAAUCUGGGGCUGUGGCUAAGGUUGGGAGGGAACCCAAGGCUGUCCCUGAGUGCGUGCUUCUGGGGAACCGGCCUUCCUUUGUCCCUGUAGGUUGUCACUGCCUGUCUAGUCUUCUGCACUUUCCAGGGCUUAUGUGAGGUGGGGCAGCUUUCUCAAAGGAAGACCCAUUCCAAUGUCCACCAGUUGUCUCCUGACAAAAACCAUGCCAUCAUGAACUAAGGGUCCUCUGGGGCUGGAGGGAUGGAGACAGGCCUCUGUUGGGGCAGGGAGUUCUCUGAUCGAGUCUGCUCUGACCUCUCAAUCUCCUUUCCUCCCCAGGCUGCUGCUCCUGCUGCCCUGUGGGCUGUGCCAAGUGUGCCCAGGGCUGCAUCUGCAAAGGGGCAUCGGAGAAGUGCAGCUGCUGCGCCUGAUGUCGGGACAGCCCUGCUCCCAAGUACAAAUAGAGUGACCCGUAAAAUCCAGGAUUUUUUGUUUUUUGCUACA
rnacentral:lncRNA from 1 species